rnacentral:lncRNA from 1 species
UUCCCCAGUUGUGUCCCAUUCUCCGGCUGUCCCAGUUCCCCGGCUGUCUCCAUUCCCCGGCUGUCCCGGUUCCCGGUUCCCCGUUCCCCGGCUGUCUCCGUUCCCCGGUCAUCUCCCGUUCCCCGGCUCCCCCGUUCCCCGGCUGUCCCGGUUCCCGGUUCCCCGUUCCCCGGCUGUCCCGGUUCCCGGUUCCC